rnacentral:misc_RNA from 1 species
GAGACUUCUCAUAUUUCCGUCAGAGAAUAUUCAACAUGCUGUGAACUGGGCAUUGAGAAGUGGUGCUGACCCUGAUAUUGCUCUACACAUGCGGAUGCUUAUGAAUAGGUCCAUUAGAGCAGUUCAAGCAGCCUUCUCUUGCAUCAGAAAAUCUGUCGAAAAUCUAAAAUUGAUCUCCAAGCCCAGAAUAAUUUUGGUUUCAGAUAAUCCUUCUCUAGUCAGAGAUAUUGCCCCAGAUUUGAAUCAGUUUGCAGAAGUCCUUCACUUUGAUUUCAAACACUUCAAAGGAAAUAUAUCUGGCAACUCAAAUUUUCAUACUGUAGAUUUUAGAACAAAGGAUUGGGGUACAGCACCAAGAUGGGUGGCAUUUGUCGAUUUCUUUCUUGCUUCAC